rnacentral:lncRNA from 1 species
GUUUUGUACAUUGCUGUUAAAAUUUUCACACAAUCAGUGAAACAUUCAAACAAGCUAAACUGAAUUUUUAUUACUGAAAGUUUCAAACAUUGACAAAUGUUUUAUUUACCAAAUAACUCAUGUGUUUCUGUGAGAAAAAAAAAAUCAUGUGCAAUUUUUGGAAUUAAAGGGAAAGAAGAUCCUUUUCUCGCUCUGGUGCAUGUCAAUUGUGAAUAUAUACUUACGGUUACCAAAUAUAUUUUCUUUAUCAUGAUACUCACAUCAACAUUAUCAAGAAGUACAUGUACAUCAUAGGAAAAAUGCACAGACUACAGAUAAAAUGUUUAAAACACCAUAUUUUGAGUGCAUCUCCUGCCAAAUCUGUACUAGAUGAGUAUAAUUGAUGUAAAUAAGGUAAUUUUUGGAAGAAAAACCCAAAAUAAAAAAAUAAAAAUACCCCCAAUAAUGUACUAUAACCCCAAAAUCAAUUCUUAUCUUCCUUUUGAGUUUUGUGUAUGAACCUCCUGGUAAAAUUUCAUGGAAAUCCAUUUACUUAACUCAAGUUAUUGUCUGAAACCAAAUGUGUUUUUUUUAACAUGCUUGUAUUUCCCAUUUCCAUUCUCAAUUUUUUUUUGCUAUCAUAUAAGAACUUGAAAAGUAAGCUACAUUAUGUACAUGUAACAAAAAAAAUAUAUGCAAGAAAUGACAUAAAACUGACUCUGAAUUUAAUAGUACAUGUCAGAUAUUGAUGUAGAACUCACAAACUGAAGAUGAUCAGAAAUACAAAUGUUUU